UUGGGGUGCGGCGGCCAACAUGCAUCAGAUUCAAUCGCGAACGAUGAUUAAUCGGGCCAUUAAUGCCAAUCGAUGCUCCGGGAAGGUCAGUUUCAUCGCUAUUCAUGCCAAUUGAUUGAUUGCGAGGUUAAUCCUGUAAUUGAGAGGUUAAUCGUAUCUCUGUAUAUUCACCCCAGCCUAUAAAAUCCCAAACUUGCAGCUCGUCCUUUCCUACUCUGCUCAUUUUCGCAAACCACAGUCCAAAAGCAAAGUGAUGGGUGUUGCUUAGGUUCCAGCUCUGUUUGGUUUAAGGUGUUGUGCUUGUUCCAAUUCUCAGUUAUUGUCUGGAUAUAUAUGUACUGACAUGUCCUCCGUCUAAUUCAUAGUUUCAAAUGUACAGCUUCUCUCCAGGUUAGAAUUCUAGCUACGUACUGCUUGGUAUCUUUGGUUCUUCCAGCUGAUCCAAUGGCUAAUGGACAGGUCAGUGCCAGUUUCCUUUUAUGCCUCCUUUAAUUAUGCCUCAUCUCACAAUCUGUUCAUUGUAGUACAUACCUUCUAUUGGUAUGAUGUGAUUUCACUCCAUGAUUGUUUGAAAUAAUCAAAAGUACCGCCUACUUUUCCUGCAAUAUGUAGCAGGUUAAUUAGAAAGUGAAAAAUGCGGAAAAGAAAGACAAAUGUCGCACAAGGCGCCGAGGGUCAAAUGAAAAUGUUGUGCUUCGCAGAUCAAAAGAAACAAAACAUACAAAUGUCAUACAAGGCGCUCAUGCGUCGACAUCACAAUCACCAUCUUCUGAAAAUAUUGUUCUUCCCAAAUCAGCCCUCUCAGGCCAUUAGGGGUUUUAACCGUCAAAUCUGUUGUUUCAGCCUUUGCUGUCCAUUGGAUGUCGUUUUGGACCCGAUGAGCUCUGUACGUUGACCACAUAGCGAUUAACUGGAGUGGGCCGCUACUCCGGGAACUAUUUUGGACGUAUUCUGUGAAUUUGGGCCAAAUGGGCUAGGUGUCGCUCCAAAGGCGUCGAUCGCUGCUGCCUGGGUCGAUGCGGUCCCUUGGGAAGCGCAAGCGCAGGCGUGGUUUGACGAGCAGUCUGCUCGGUCGGCAUCUCAGACCGGUCCAUGGACCAUGGGGAUGCGAGGUUGUAGGCGAAGCGGCGGUGAUAAAUCACAAUUGAAUCGGCAUCUCAGACUGUUCGGUGAUGAAUCCGGCAAUCAAUCUUCAGUUUCAGGAAGCAUUCAUCACAAUUGAUGUGCGCCACUCACCGGCUGCAAUUAAAUGGGGGUGUGCGUUCCUUUUUCCUGCAACCUUUUCCUAGGGAUCCCAAUUCCCUCCAGGUUAUCAUCAGCUCCAUCCCCAUGAUUUCUUCAUGUGACCUUCAUGUUGGAUCUCGCUGGAUCUCUGCUACUUACCGCAAAAUACUAGGGCCGAGGGUGCAGCUGGUGUUCCUAUGCACGCUACUUUCCAAUAUGGCUGCUGCGCUGCUCCACCAGUCACUUGAGAGGAUCUGAGAUGGUCAUGGGCGGUGGAUCCAGAGGAUUUUUUUACUGGAGCACCUUGUCCUCAUAUUGCUGUAUUGAAACCUCUCGAAAAUCCUCCAACGAGGCAACGACUGGUUGUUGGUGAGCUCCGAUACACAUCUUCAGUUCUGAUUCUUCAAUCUGCAUUUGGUUUGAUCUGAAACAUCUGCUAUACUUGCUUGUUUCAUGUCUUUUUUUGGGUUCUGUCUAGCUGCGAUAGCUUACGGAUCACAUGCCAAGUCAAUUCUUAACUGUACAAUUUUCUUCUGAUAACAGUUUAUUUGCUGGAAAAGAGGUUGCUUCUGUGCUUGUAGGACAUCAUGUGAGAUGACAAGAAAUCUCAAAUGAAGAUAGUAAUUCAGCAAGGCCAGCGAGUCUAUUCUGUGGAAUGUUUAGUAGCCUUGUAAUUUAUAUGUACUGAAGGCCGGUGUCACCGUAGAAAGGGUGACCAAACUAUGAUCACGUUGCUGUCAGAUGGUGUUUCCAAACAAGUUCAACGAUGUAAGUUUAAGAGAAUGCAUGUGAUUGUUCUGUAGAUCUCAAAACAAAUAUUUCGAUUUUAGUUUCUUAUUCUCCAUUGUAACUUGAAUCUAUGUGGUUUCAUAAAUAAAAUCGGGGUGGAAUCCCUUCUUAAAAAGACUAUUAAAACUGACUUAUGGGUGACGACACAUAUUUCUUCGAAUGAUAUCGAUUAGCAUGGAAAUCUGUACAUGUUAUGUUAGUGGUUCUCGAAUUCGCGACAUACCUAUUAAGCAAUGGAAUUGACCUUCCAACUAGAAGAUGUCAAUAAACAAAAGGGAAACAAUUAGAAUAAAAGGCUCGGGACCCAUACCUGUUAAGCGAUGGAAACGCACCGAUCAUUGUAUUGUAUAAUGAUUUUCCUACUUGUGCUCUCCAAUUUAUUUGUUGUGUUUUUCUGUAUUCGGCAUUGCUACUAGCCUGCUACAACCCGGCCGGGCACAUCUUCUUCCCUGUUUGUUUCCAGCCAAGUUUAGUAAUUCUUUGUUUUUUCCAUUAGGCUGCCUUUUCAUGAUAUACAUUACUAUCAGAGUUUUACUUGAUUUCCAGCAAACUAUAGUAGAGGUGAGUUUUUGCAAGUUGGUUUCAUUAUCACUAAAGGAAGAUAUGAACUAGAGUUGCGAAAAGGAAACUGUGUCAUUUGCAUGCAUGUCUCAUUUACAUUAUAGCCUCUGUUAUUCUGUAUUGACAUCAUUGUUUGUUCUUUAUUAGUUUUUAACUCAACUAUCUCAACGUUCCUGGUAUGUUGCCAAUUGGUUCUUGGUAUGCUGGAUAGUGAUGUCUUCGGAUCAACUAUUUCCGCUUCCUUCAAUCAAUUAAAUCUGAAUACUUCAUAUAGAUAAUAUUACUCCACUUGACCAUUCCACAACAUGCAAUAGCACCGAAAUUUUACAUGUAUGGUGCAAGAUAUUUGCGAUUUGUUUAAUGGUUCUUUCCCUCUUUGCAGGAAACACAAGAUCCACUUUCCAAUAUCACAUGCCACAUAGUUGUUGUUUCGGCUUUGGGUUUCCAGUUUUUUGCUAGCAUAACUAGCUCUCAAUUUUUUUGAUGCACUGGAUAAAUGCUUGAUGUACUACUUAUGUUGACAGACAAGGAAAAUACUGAAGAGCUGACAUGAACAGUUUUUCUGGUACACCAUUGAAGUUACUUGCCUUCGUUCAUAUCGUGUUUCCAUGUUAUCUAGAUUAAGUUUGAUUCCAAAUGGCAUGCCCAGAUGUAGACAUAGUUCUGCCUAGCUGAAAAGAGUUUACGCAUGAUCCACCGACAUAUCUUUUCUUGUUGCUCUUAUAGAACAAUAAAAGAUCCACCGUGUACUUAAGGAUCGAUUGGUUCCUCAGCAAGUUUAGUUAACUAAUGAUAGAUCUAAAUGUAGCUUGUUCCAAGUAGUAACUUUUUUUUGAAGUAUUCAUAAAGUUUUAAGAAUCAAAAUAUUGAAUAUUGUAC
rnacentral:lncRNA from 1 species